UACGUAGGAGGCAAGCGUCGUCCGGAAUUACUGGGCGUAAAGCGCGUGUAGGUGGUGGGACAAGUCUGCUGUGAAAGCGCCUGGCUUAACCGGGCGAGGUCGGCGGAAACUGUCCGACUAGAGGACGGUAGAGGGGGGUGGAAUUCCCGGUGUAGUGGUGAAAUGCGUAGAGAUCGGGAGGAACACCUGUGGCGAAGGCGGCCCCCUGGGCCGGCCCUGACACUGAGACGCGAAGGCGUGGGGAGCGAACGGG
rnacentral:rRNA from 1 species